AUGAUUCCAUCAUCUUUUGCCUCAAUGUCUUGUAGAUACACAGAGAACAGUCACCUUAAUCCUUAUGAACAGGUUGACUGUCUUGUAGAUGAUGCUGCAGGUUCUCUACGCACAAUGUUAGACACAGUGGCUCCUCUGAAGAAGAAGACAGUGAAUCAGAGGAGGUUAGCUCCGUGGUAUAACUCAGAGAUCCGCAGCCUAAAGCAAAGGACUAGACAACUAGAAAGACAGUGGCGUUCCAACAAAAUAAAUGUAAACUGCAUUGCAUGGAAGGACAGUCUAAUGAAAUAUAAAAAAGCACUUUGUGCUGCUAGAAAAACAUAUUAUUCCUCCCUAAUUGAGGAAAACAAAAACAACCCCAGGUUUCUUUUCAGCACUGCAGCCAGGCUGACAAAGAGUCAUAGCUGUAUUGAGUCUACUAUCCCCUUAAAUCUCAGCAGCAAUGACUUUAUGAACUACUUUACUAAUAAAAUUAUCAUCAUUAGAAAAAACAUUCAGCAGCGACUUCUUCCAAAUGACAGAAAGCACUGUCUAGAUCAUCCAUCAACUUUAAAUUUAUUAAAUCCUCUGUCUUACCUAGACAGCUUCUUCCCCAUAACUCAUAUGGAGUUAACCUCAAUAAUCAACUCUUCCAAGUCGUCCACUUCUCUUUUAGAUCCAAUCCCAACCAAAUUACUCAAAGAAGUUCUACCUUUAAUCAGCUCGUCCAUAUUAAAUCAAAUCAACCAAUCUUUACAACUAGGCUAUGUACCACAGGCUUUUAAGGUGGCUGUGGUCAAACCUCUAUUGAAAAAAACAACCCUUGACCCUGGACAACUAGCCAACUACAGGCCCAUUUCAAAUUUAUCCUUUAUUUCCAAGAUUCUGGAAAAAAUCGUGGCUAAACAAUUAUCUGACCACCUGAGUGGGAAUAACCUGUACGAAGAUUUUCAGUCAGGAUUUAGAAAACAUCAUAGCACAGAAACAGCUCUGGUUAGAAUCACUAAUGAUCUUCUAUUAGCUUCGGACAAUGGUCUAGUUUCUGUCCUUGUCCUGUUAUAUCUUAGUGCUGCAUUUGAUACAAUUGAUCAUAACAUUCUAUUACAGACACUAGAACAUAAAAUCGGGAUUAAUGGAACAGCAUUGGGAUGGUUUAAAUCCUAUUUGUUGAACUGGAUUCCAGUUUGUUCAUGUUAA
rnacentral:lncRNA from 1 species